AGGGUUCGAUUAUGGCUCAGGAUGAACGCUAGCUACAGGCUUAACACAUGCAAGUCGAGGGGCAGCAUGUCGGUUGCUUGCAACCGAUGAUGGCGACCGGCGCACGGGUGAGUAACGCGUAUCCAACCUACCCUUGUCCAUCGGAUAACCCGUCGAAAGGCGGCCUAACACGAUAUGCGGUUCACCGCAGGCAUCUAACGUGAACGAAAUGUGAAGGAGAAGGAUGGGGAUGCGUCUGAUUAGCUUGUUGGCGGGGUAACGGCCCACCAAGGCUACGAUCAGUAGGGGUUCUGAGAGGAAGGUCCCCCACAUUGGAACUGAGACACGGUCCAA
rnacentral:rRNA from 1 species